rnacentral:rRNA from 1 species
AUUGAACGCUGGCGGCAGGCCUAACACAUGCGAGUCGAGCGGAUGAAGGGAGCUUGCUCCUGGAUUCAGCGGCGGACGGGUGAGUAAUGCCUAGGAAUCUGCCUGGUAGUGGGGGAUAACGUCCGGAAACGGGCGCUAAUACCGCAUACGUCCUGAGGGAGAAAGUGGGGGAUCUUCGGACCUCACGCUAUCAGAUGAGCCUAGGUCGGAUUAGCUAGUUGGUGGGGUAAAGGCCUACCAAGGCGACGAUCCGUAACUGGUCUGAGAGGAUGAUCAGUCACACUGGAACUGAGACACGGUCCAGACUCCUACGGGAGGCAGCAGUGGGGAAUCUUGGACAAUGGGCGAAAGCCUGAUCCAGCAAUGCCGCGUGUGUGAAGAAGGUCUUCGGAUUGUAAAGCACUUUAAGUUGGGAGGAAGGGAAGUAAGUUAAUCCCUUGCUGUUUUGACGUUACCAAAAGAAUAAGCACCGGCUAACUUCGUG